rnacentral:lncRNA from 1 species
GGGCCCCAGGGUAACAGCUUGACCUCUGGAGGCACUGGAGACAAAGAUCAGCCACGUGGCAGUCAACCAUGUCUAUCUGACCAAGUUCCAAUGAAAACUCUGGACACCAAGGCUUGGGAGAUAUUUCUCAAAAGACUCCUCUGCGGGAGAGGAGAAUAGCUGUACUCUAAGCAGUUCGCAGGGAGCAUCUUUCAGCAGCUGAAACAGCUUUGCGGCCUUGCUGUAAUGAAGAUCUGCCAGCACCCGGUGUUGUUUCCUAAGGUGUUCAUCACCAACCUAGAACCAAACCAAAACAAGCAACAAAUCCUUCACGAGAAAGAAAGAAAACAACUGUGUAAGCAGACAUCAGUGUAAACCUUAGCACUGUCUCUUGAUGAGAUAAGAGGAGGAUGGCAGUGACAGGAGUGUGGUGGCGAGCCAGUCACCUGCAGUCAACCACGGCUCAUUGCUCUCACCAUGCCUGUUACAUGAAGGUAUGUAUGUAUAGGAAAAAGCACUGAAAAACUCUCCAGUUUCAGGCAUCCACUGGGGAUCUUGGAACGCAUCCUCCAAGGAUAAGUGGG